ACAAAACUAUAAAAUAAAAAGGGACAAACAAAUGAAUCAAGGAAAAUGCCACAUUCCCCUAAAAAAAGGAAAACGCCACAUAAAAAUGCCAAAUAACCCGGCAAAAGAAACUAACAAAAAAUGGAGACGAGUAAAAAAAAGGUUGGAUUGCUUGGUUUCGAAUGUAGCCAGGUGAAAGAGACACACACUGGAAUGGGGAAUGUGGAAGAUGCCAAGCCCACCACGCAUACCUGCACCUUUCACAAACAAAAAAAAGCACUAAACAGGCCGGCUGUAUCCCUGCACGGGCCUAUUUCACAAGAAACAAACAGCAUGCACAGAUUUUGAAGCCCCUAGUGAUCUAAUGCGGGGGGUGGGGGAUCGACUGAGACUUGGUAAAAAAUCAGUCGACUGAUUUUUAGCCCCUCCGAUUCGUGAAUGGUCGUCUCGUUAUUGGUUUAUAUCGGGUUCGCUCUUCUGCUUAUGGUCUGCCCGUUAACCCGUGUCGCUGCCUGUUUUUCCUCUUGACUUUGAAAUGUCCUGUUCGCUCUGUAGCUGUUUCAUCAGACGUUCAAACAGAGAUUUCGAGAGCAGGGGAGAGAGAGAGACGGCGAUUAUUUCCAUUCACAGCUCUCCUUCUCUUGUUGCUUCAGGUGUUCGGUUGUUGUUUUUUCGCCCGCUGGUGGUUAGAAGUGCUCCUCCAACUGCUCUUCAAAUCCACUGGAAGGAUCCCUUGCUUGAAGUUUAGAUUGCUGCGGUCGGCUAGCUGCUGGUUGGAAUUUUCUCUUCCCAACGGCCUGUUGUUGUUCUUCAUCAAUUACUCUAUUUUCUAGAUCUGCGAGAUAUGGUCCUACAAUUCCGUGAGCCCGAUGAUGGCUGUGCUCUGUUGAAUCUGUGAGCUAUGGUCCUCGAAUUCUAGGUUGUUCAUCUACGUUGUGUUGCUUUUUGCUGUUCCCAUCCUUGUGUUUGCGUCAGGCUUUGUGCUUGUGCAUGUGUAAUGUUGGGGCAAUUCUAGAGUAUUGUCUGUAAUAUCUGUCUUUGAAGAGUUUGAUUUAACUUUAUAAGGUUAUUAUUAGUUCUUAUAUUUUACUUCUCAUAUUGAAUCUUUUAGUGGUUGUUCCGUAAUUUUUUCUGUUAUUUUGCCGUAAAUUGAGUGAGUUGUCUCUGUAGGUUAUGUUUAGGUUAAUUUCCACAACAUUUAAAAGUUAUUUUGUUGUACCUCAUGAAUGAAUUGCAGUCUGAGAGUAGCUCUUAAUCCUUGAUAAAUUAGGUGGUUACUUAGUGUUACUUUGUUUUAUGAGUAGAGGUGGUUAUUGCUUGCAUUACCUCUGCAUGCUCUAGUUGGUCGUUUAACUAUUUUUCUUGCAUUAAGCAUAAUUACACUGUCACAUUAUUAUAUUUCUCCAGCAAAGGCUAUUGUAGUUUUCAAUAUCCCACCAAGUUUUAACUGUUUUUUGUUACAGUGCAUUUCUGUAUUAUGUAGCUCAUCGGUGUACUAUGUAGUAAUAUGUUCUCAGCUGAUACUUUUUAUUUACAGUAGCUAUUCAUUUUGUGAGCAAUACUCACAGUUGCUACUGUGUUCUCGUGGAUAGCUAGACACUUACAGGUUGUUGGCUAGCUGUUCAAUUCGGACAUGGAAGGAAAAGCUUCAGGGGUGUUAGGUGUGAGCUUUUUGGUGGCUCUCGCUCGCCUUUGUAGCUCUGAAAUAAGAAGAUGACUGAUAUGAGCCUGUGUCUACAUGCCCAGACCUUGCUAAUAGGUGUGUGAAGUGUGGCUUGCAUCCACCUGAACGCUUGCUUGUGUGGAUUGAUGUGUGUUUGCAAUGGGUUUGGAAACACUAGUAGUAGUAAUUAAGAAGCAGCCUUUAUCUACGUGGCUGCAGUGUAAAUGUGAUCCUCUCCUCUUACGAGUGUUUGGCAUGUACUCCCUCGGUCCGGAAAAGUUUGUCCCAAGCUUGUCUUUCAAAUGGAUGUAUCCAGCACUAACUUGAUGCUAGAUACAUCCUUUUAAGGGACAAGCUUUUUCGGACGGAGGGAGUAGUAUUUUAACUAAAAAACAUUGUGUCUGCCUGUGUGCUUGUUAAAUAUGCAUUUCAUAUGAGCAAGGCAGCAGGGAACCCUUUACAUUCUAUAUUUUCUAGUGGGUUGCCUAUGCUUAUCAGUUUUGUGUUCUUUCAGUUAGUGGUUCAGCUAGUGCUAGUUUACGUUGUUAGGAAGAGAGAGUUGUUGAAAUUCUCAGUGACAUUUACAGAGGAAUUAUAGCAGUUUUACAUGUAAGUUCACUGUAAAUCGCAUUGUAAUUCAACUGCAAGUAUACUGUAAAUCUCACUGUAAUUCAACUGUAAUUUGCUCUAUAAUACUACUGCUUUUUACUCUGUAAAUCUAAUGUAAAAUGUCACUAUAUUUAUGAUUUGAUUAGAUUGUAUAUUACACUACACUGUAAAUCUGUUGCAGUUACACUGUAAAACUCACAACAUUUCUACUCUAGUUGUAUUUCCACUAUAAAUUAGACUGUAAAUCUAUUGAAAUUACAUUGUAAAUCACACGAUUAAUCUACUGGUUACACUGCAAUUCUACUGUAUUUGUUACAUUGUAAUUUCAUUGUAAAUUACACUGUAAAUCUACUAUAAAUUACACUGUAAAUCUUCUGAAAUUACAGUGUAAAUCACACUUUUUAAGUUACUACAAUUAUGCCAUACUUCUACUGUAUUUGAAACACUGUAAUUCUAUUUGUAAAUUACACUGUAAUUCUAUUGUAAAUUACAUUGUAAUUGUACUGUGUUUAUACUGUAUUUAACACUGCAAUUCUACUGUAAAAUACAGUGUAAUUCAAACUGUAAAUCAGUCUUCUACUCUAAUUCAACUCUGAAUGUAUUGUUUCAGAGUGACUUAACUGUGUGAGUUCAGUUCAUCAUGUGUGAUGGUUAGGUUUUUAUCUUAAAAGUUUACUGUAGUUGUUCCCUUUUUUUCUGUAAUUGUUACUGGAAUAACAUGAUUUACUGUUCCAUUUACUUUGCUUAUAGUCCAACUAUGUGAUAGUUUCCUGUAGCGAGGUCUUAUAUUUCUGCUGCAUUUAUCAGUAUAAUUUCUACUUUUCUAUGCCAUUCCUGUUUGAAAGUUCUAAUGUAUAUAUGAUUUACAAUUCUCUAGUAGUUUUAUUUUCCCUGUAAUCUUAGUAUAAUCUGUUUCCUGAUGUACACUUGUCUUGGUUCCUUUCUUUCAAUUUGGAGAAGCAUUUCAUGUUUUCUCUUUCUAUCUUCAUAAAUCAGGGUAGUUGUUUGUCACUGUAGUUUUUUACAUGAGUUACAAGGUCUGGUAGGCUCAUGUACAUGGCCAGAUAUGGUAUGCAGUACUCCUUUUUUUCUCUAAAGUUCAAUGCAAUUUUGAUCUACAUGUGUUUCUGGUGUAUACUAGCUGUUAGAAGUGCUUCUAUUAUAUUCGGCUGCAGUCUCUAACUAUUGUAUGUUCUCCUUUUUUUUGUAAAUUGUAAAAGAAGUUAAAGGAUUCAUAAGCAUCAUGUUGAUAUGAGGGAAUGCUGCAGUUGGACUGAUGUACUUGACAGAAGCAUCCGGAAGAUAGGUGAUUUAGGGAGGGCACCUGACAUGUGAUUAUUCCAUUGUGUAAACUAAUUAGACUGGUCGUUUCAGCUGUAUUUUUUACAUUGGCUGCACUUCCUAGUUUAGUUCAGGUGUUCGCUUUUACUGUAGUCUUCCUUUCGCUUUUGUAUUUGGGCCUCAUGAUGUUGUUAUAAUGGAGAGACUUGAUAUUGUAACUGACGGAGACAACGUACAUACAUUCAGGAAACGGACAUACAUUCAGGA